GCAGUCGACGGUAACGGAAUCAGCUUGCUGAUUUGCUGACGAGUGGCGGACGGGUGAGUAAUGUCUGGGAAACUGCCUGAUGGAGGGGGAUAACUACUGGAAACGGUAGCUAAUACCGCAUAACGUCGCAAGACCAAAGAGGGGGACCUUCGGGCCUCUUGCCAUCGGAUGUGCCCAGAUGGGAUUAGCUAGUAGGUGGGGUAACGGCUCACCUAGGCGACGAUCCCUAGCUGGUCUGAGAGGAUGACCAGCCACACUGGAACUGAGACACGGUCCAGACUCCUACGGGAGGCAGCAGUGGGGAAUAUUGCACAAUGGGCGCAAGCCUGAUGCAGCCAUGCCGCGUGUAUGAAGAAGGCCUUCGGGUUGUAAGUACUUUCAGCGGGGAGGAAGGGAGUAAAGUUAAUACCUUUGCUCAUUGACGUUACCCGCAGAAGAAGCACCGGCUAACUCCGUGCCAGCAGCCGCGGUAAUACGGAGGGUGCAAGCGUUAAUCGGAAUUACUGGGCGUAAAGCGCACGCAGGCGGUUUGUUAAGUCAGAUGUGAAAUCCCCGGGCUCAACCUGGGAACUGCAUCUGAUACUGGCAAGCUUGAGUCUCGUAGAGGGGGGUAGAAUUCCAGGUGUAGCGGUGAAAUGCGUAGAGAUCUGGAGGAAUACCGGUGGCGAAGGCGGCCCCCUGGACGAAGACUGACGCUC
rnacentral:rRNA from 1 species